GGCCUGAUGGUCUAGUAGUAUGAUUCUCGCUUUGGGUUUCCCUUACUCCCCACUUUGCGAGAGGUCCGGGGUUCAAUUCCCCGUCAGGCCC